AAGUUAGGGAUCCUUUCCAAAUGCAUGUGUUUGAAGGGGUUUCAAAAAAUUCCACUGGAAAAACGGUUAUGUCCCUGUGAAGAUGGCAGUAGUGAGUCAGUGGCUCAUAUGCUUCUGGCUUGCACCCAUUAUAAAGAUUUGAGGAGUGAGGUUAUUACCCCUCUAUUAUUGUACAUGCCAGGUCACUCAGCCAUUACUACUGUCCUUUCUUUUAGCAGAUCAAGAUGAUCAGGUGACAGCAAAAACUGCAGGGAUUUUAGUGGGGGCACUUAGAAUUAGAUCUAUUCUUUGAUUAUUGAUGUAAACCCCAAAAUGUAUUUUCUAUACUGUAUAUACUCGAGUGUAAGCUGACUUUUUCAGCACGUUUUUAAUGCUGAAAAAGCCCCCCUUGGCUUAUACUUGAGUGAGGAGGGCGGCGGAGGGACGAGCGGCCUGAAAGGAGCCCUUUCUGGCUGCUUGUUCUUCCUCCACCGCUGCCGCCACCACCAGGUUUGUGGUGUGGUGAACCGGCUUAUACCCGAGUCAAUAAGUUUUCCCAGUUUUUUUGUGCUAAAAUUAGGUGCCUUGGCUUAUAAAGUGGUACCUUGGGUUAAGUACUUAAUUCGUUCCAGAGGUCCGUUCUUAACCUGAAGCUGUUCUUAACCUGAAGCACCACUUUAGCUAAUGGGGCCUCCCACUGCCCCCGCGCCGCCGGAGCACAAUUUCUCUUCUCAUCCUGAAGCAAAGUUCUUAACCCGAGGUACUAUUUCUGGGUUAGCGGAGUCUGUAACCUGAAGUGUAUGUAACCUGAGGUACCACUGUAUUCGGGUUGGCUUAUACCCGAGUAUAUACGGUAGUUAAGUUUUUACCUCCAUUUUCAGUACAUUUUAUUUUAUUGCUAUGGCUAGUGCCUGAUGCAAAUAAAGAUUCUUCUGAUUCUGAAGGGGUUUGUGAAAGUUCAUGUAUUUAAGCUCUGAGUAGCCAAGCACAGACAGAUUUACACAUUCAUGUGCAUGUGUGUGACAAAUUCCAGAGGCGCCAUCCUGUUAGGCUGCAGUAGUUGUAAGGGGUUGCUUUGAAGCUUCUUCAGCACUAGAUGGGGGGGGGAAUCUCCCCUCUUAACCGCCCCUCCAUGUCCUGUAUUUUGCCAGAACAAAGGUGGCAACCCUGCUACCUAGACGGAAGGGUCUGUAGCCUUGGCUGAGAGGAGCCAGGAAAGGAUGCUGAACUCUGGGGAAUGAUUUUUUUAAAAAAACAACCAGGGCUGGGAAACUGUUUGUUUGUUGCUCUAUUGUAUGAGGGAUAACCUAUCAGGGAUUCUUUAGCAGAGAUUCCUUCACUGCAUGGGGUUGGACUAGAUGACCCCUGAGCUCACUUCCAACUCUACAAUUCUAUAAUUCUAGGAAUAUAGUGGCUCUUGCAAAUCAUGGCACAGGAAGAUGGUGAGCAGCGGGCAGGAUGCUUCUGAGUGCUUCACAGCUGAAUGAAUGCCCAUGGGCAUCUAAAGGGAUCCCCCUACCCCUGUAAGAUCACUAAAUUUGCGGGAAUGUUCAGGGAGGCAGGAGAUGAUAUAUUGUUUAUUAAUAGCCUUCCUAACUUGCACUAGCAAGUUCCUUUACUUAGCAGAGUUUUACAUUCCCCUUUGAAACACACAGUGGGUAGCUGGCUGCAGGUUUUAUUAAGCCUCUCACUAUCAUACAAUUCAGUAUUGAAUUUUAUGUGCCUGGUAAAUUCCCUUUUUAUCCCUCUUUUAAGAAUAAAGACAUGACAAUCUUAUUUAAGGUCAAUAAAAGAAGUUUCCUUACAACGUCAGUUCACAGUUGGAUCCCUGAAGGCAGACUUAGUUACAAAGUAUAUACGUUGUGGAAUCUAUCCCAUAUGGAGAUAAUCCCAGUGUCCUCUGUUGGCUAAAAGCCAACAGAGCAUUCCUAGCUAAAAAGCUGCUCCAACAACGGAGGAAGUCAAAGAGACAGAGAGAGAGUGCUGCGUGCCUUGUGCUUUUGUUACCUGGACAGGUAAAGUCACGCCCACCUCUAGUCACAUCCAAAGGAAGUAUGUCCCAGCCCAGUAGGAAACAGGAUGUUCCGACUGGCUGGACCAAACAUCCCCUUGCAUGUCCACUCUAGGAAAACAAGGAAUGUUGUACUUGACUGCUACUUACCUUAUGUAUUAAGAUUAGCUGCAGUUCUCACUCAGGGCCACCAGUAUGCAAAUAAAGGAUUGAGAACUGUCGCUCACUGAUUGGUUAGCUAGUUGGGCGUUGUUACUGUUACAAGUUACUUAGUAUUAUAGAAAGCAGCCAGCUAGGCUUUAGUCAGUCUGACUCCAGGAGCAGUUCUAACUGCUGCAAUAAAGAGCUGUGAAUCUGACAGAGCUGUGUCCUUCAUCCAUCUUUCCCACUAUUCAACAACUUACAUAUCACAUCCCACAAAAUUCAGGAUCUGAAAUUAUCUAGCUGCACCUCUGACCCUUACGUAUCCUCGCUCAGAGGUGCGUUCUAUUUCACAUCGGGUUAAUGCCUGCUUUGCAAAAUUCUAAAAUGUGCAUUUGGUUUCAUGCCGGGAAAGAAGCAGCAUUUGUCAGCUGCAUAGUAAACCUGCUCACCUGUUCAACUUUAUGGGCCUAAUUCUGCAGAAGUCUCCCUCUCCGGAUGAGGUCGGACAGGCCUUCCUCCCUGUUGAACUUAGGAGCAGAGUAAGAAAGAGGCUGCUGGAUUCGGCCAAGGGCCCAUCUAGUCCAGCAUCCUGUUCCCGCAGUGGCUGACCAGAUGCCCAUUAUGGGAAACCUGCAAGCAGGAUCCGAGCACAGAAGCCCUCCCCCCUCCUGCGGUUUUCAGAAGCAUUUCUUCCUCUGAAUGUGGAGACAGAACAUAACCUUCACCGUGGCUGCUAGCCAUCAAUAGCCCUUCCUCCAUGAAUGUGUCUAAUCUGCUUUAAAGUCUAUCCAAGUUGAUGUCCACCACUGCUUCCUUCUUCCAUAGUCUAGCCUCUGCUGCUUGGUGACUUAUUUAUGGAAGCAGGCAUUUUAGGCAAGUUUCCCAGUUGAUUUACCUUUUGUAAACUCACAGGGCGCUGUUUAGAGACUAUGAAGUUAAGUGACAUAUAAAUUGUUGUGGGGGAAAGGUUGGGAUAAACUUAGCGGUAGAAGCAGGCGCAGAAGUUAUCCCUCCAGGCACAGGGAAUGCGAUGGCAAAAGACAAGGGCGGCGAGGAACGCCACCUUAUUUUCAGAGCCUGCAUGUUCCCAAAUAUAAUAGGCCUCCUUGGUGCCAUAAAUCCUUCUGCAACAACAGGAGAGCGAGCGCCUGCUCUAUCCUGGGCAGCCUCCGUUGUGCACCGAGAAAUGGAACAGUGAGCUUCAUUAUUUACGGACAGCCUCCUGCCUUCCCUUGUGUUCCUUCCUCGUUUCCAUCUAGCUGGGUCCCUAACGGGGAGCAGAUACUCAAACAAGCUCCCUAACCAUCCCUGACUGCCCGACUGGAUUGAAAAAACAUGGGUUUGUGCAGUGAGAUGAAGAAGUCUUCGCCCCAUUAGGAGGACAGGGGAUUUUGUUUUUAGAAUGUUGCACUAUUUUAGUGUUGUUAGCCGCCCUGAGCCCGGCUUCGGCUGGGGAAGGCGGGAUAUAAAUAAAAUUUAUUAUUAUUAUUAUUAUUGUUGUUGUUGUUGUGCGCAUGUGUUGUGGCAGGACUCACUACAGCCGUCCUAAUGGAAGUACAGGGAUCACAUUCACUUUCACCCCUAAUGUUAGGAGUUCUUGCUUCCAUUUCAAUCUGUGCACCCCUAAGGGUUAAGGGAGGGAGUAGGCAUUUGAUUCAAAGGACUUAGAAUCAGGUCACCUUUGUUGCGCCAGAAUCUGCCUUUCUCCCCCCGUUAAUAAUUUUUAUUUGAUUUUACAAGUGUGAAAUUACAACAGCAUCAAAUACAUACUCAUUUAGAGAUUUCUCUGAAUCUCUAUAGACUUCCCACCAUUCCCUCCAGGGGUCCUAUUGUCAGCAUUUUCAACUGCAUAUUAUUUCAUCAUCCAUAUUUUAAAUCUAUCCAUAUUGUCCAAAGUAUUUGUAAUAAUAAUAAUAAUAAUAAUGAUGAUGAUGAUGUUGUAUUAUUUAUACCCUGCCCACUCUGUGCGACUCCUAACCAAAUAUUAAAAACACAAUACUGUACAGCAUUAAACAUUAAAAACUUCCCUAAACAGGGCUGCCUUCAGAUGUCUUUUAAUGCCGGCUCAGACUUGUUAUCCAUCCAGCCCAGCAUUUUUAUUUAAUUCUUAUUUAUUGCAUUUAUACCCCACCUUUACCUCCAUGGGGCUCAGGGUGGCAUUACUCAGCUCUCCAUCCCACUCCUCACUGAAGCCCUGAGGGGCUGAGAGAGACAGCAACUUGCCCCCCCCCCCCUGGCAACACCCAGCAAGUGCCAUGAUGGCCAAGUGGGGAUUCACUGCUCUGUUAGCAAAUCAGGUGCUGUUUCAACAAGCUGGUUGUCCUUGCUUUGUUUACCCUCUGCUUGCGUAUUUUUU